CCCGCACAAGCGGUGGAGCAUGUGGUUAAUUCGAAGCAACGCGAAGAACCUUACCUGGUCUUGACAUCCCGGAGACCCUUAGGAAACUAGGGGGUGCUUCCAUCUGGAAGAAUCUGGAGACAGGUGCCGCAUGGCUGUCGUCAGCUCGUGUCGUGAGAUGUUGGGUUAAGUCCCGCAACGAGCGCAACCCUUGCCUUUAGUUGCCAGCAGUUCGGCUGGGCACUCUAAAGGGACUGCCGGUGUUAAACCGGAGGAAGGUGGGGAUGACGUCAAGUCCUCAUGGCCUUUAUGACCAGGGCUACACACGUACUACAAUGGCCGAUACAAAGGGCAGCGACACUGCGAGGUGAAGCCAAUCCCGUAAAAUCGGUCUCAGUCCGGAUUGGAGUCUGCAACUCGACUCCAUGAAGUUGGAAUCGCUAGUAAUCGUGGAUCAGCAUGCCACGGUGAAUACGUUCCCGGGCCUU
rnacentral:rRNA from 1 species